CCAAUAGCGUAUAUUAAAGUUGUUGCAGUUAAAAAGCUCGUAGUUGAAUUUCGGGAUCAAUAUGUCGGUCGUGCCUUCGGUACGUACUGGUAUCAUUGGUCUCUCCUUUCUGACGAACCAUGAUGUCAUUAAUUUGGUGUUAUGGGGAGUUAGGACUGUUACUUUGAAAAAAUUAGAGUGUUUAAAGCAGGCUUUAGCUUGAAUACAUUAGCAUGGAAUAAUGAAAUAGGACGUUCGAACCUAUUUUGUUGGUUUCUAGGAUCAACGUAAUGAUUAAUAGGGAUAGUUGGGGGCAUUAGUAUUCAAUUGUCAGAGGUGAAAUUCUUGGAUUUAUUGAAGACUAACUACUGCGAAAGCAUUUGCCAAGGAUGUUUUCAUUAAUCAAGAACGGAAGUUAGGGGAUCGAAGACGAUCAGAUACCGUCGUAGUCUUAACCAUAAACUAUGCCGACUAGGGAUCGGAUGAUGUUAAUUUUUUAAUGACUCAUUCGGCGCCUUACG
rnacentral:rRNA from 1 species